ensembl:lncRNA
GGUCUCUUUGCUCCAUAAGUCAUUGCCUGCUCAUUACUUGUAGUGUGAGAGAUGAAAUUUAUUCAAACCUGAUAGCAGGGAUGAAGAAUUGAAAGGCAGGCAGCUGCGAGAAAUGAAAUUAGCUUAUUCUAAUGCUUUUUUGACAGGAUUUUUUUCAUUGCCAUGGGUUACUGUACAUUUGCUUGAAAUGCUCCCCUGCCACAUCCUUAUCUCUAAUUUGGAGAGAUAUGUAUUUGAAGGGUGGACUGUUUGGUGGAUAAGAAAUUGGUUGGAAGGUUGCAGCCAGAAGAAUGUGGUCGCUGAAUCUAUGUCCAGGUGGAGGCUGCUAUGCAAUAGCCAUCAGAAUGGGAAAUUACUGAGGGAGAUUGAAGUGCUCAGAACUGCUGGCUUAUGAUCACUCAAAAUUCAGAAUUGGUAUUGUAUUGCAAUUCCUCAUCAAAAACAUGCAGAAUCAUCUUUCUCGUCAAAAACAUUUCAUUGAGAUAGCAGUCUACUGUGCCUCCCAAAAGGAAAGUGCUGAAGAUGUCACUGAAAAUUAUCACCACUUUCUUCUGCAUCAAGAAAAUAUAACUCACAUACAUCUCCUGGGAAUAUGGAAAUUAUGAAUAUUUGAGUCUAUCAUUUUUCCUUGAGGCCUGCCAAUGAGGCACAGGAGGUUGUUGAACUUGGAGUGAUAAUGUUCUUUCAAAGGCAGCAGCAAGUGGAUGUCAGGUCUCAGUCUUUGGAUACUCCAACUAACAAAAGUUUCUGGUUUAUCUUUCCUGGAUUCCCUUUACAGAAAGGGAGCUAGCUAAGAUUCAUGAUUUGCCAGAGUUGUCACUAGGAGCUCAGCAUGGGGCAGGAUGGAUUUUCUGCAUUCAGGACAUUUAUCUGAGGUUGGACUUACUCCACAUGCAUGGUUCUCUGUCCUGAAAUGCAGUGACUCCUCUUAUACAACAAGGAAGGUGAAAACAAAUUUUUGAGGUCUGAGGAAGAGCUACACUGCUUGAUUAUUGAAGGAAUGAAAGGCACUGUGACCUUGUCGACCGAAUGCCUUGCUGCUUUCAAUGUUGUCCAUUAUGCUGGAGGCAGGCAGCUCAUGGAGAGGGGCUGAACUCUCCGGGAGAGCUGCUGGCCGGGCAGCCUGCCAGCCAGGGCUUGGGCGGCCACACCACCAGGCAGCGAAUAUCAACACCCUACUUGAACAUGAUGCUCUUUUACAAACCUGGAGAAAACAAGCAAGCAAACAAAAAACCCCCACAACCAUAAGGAAAAAAACACACACUGUCAAUCCAUAUCCUCUCAAGAAACAGCAUCCUAAAUCCUAAAUAACCAAAAAGCAUAGACUAUGUCUUCCAUGUGAACUUGGUAGGAUGUAAGAAUGCAUGCAGACACCGACCACUGCUUCUGGAGACAGCUCAUCCUCGGGAACUUGGGGCACCUGCAGGUUUACAAAGCACCUGUGCAGGGAAUGUGCAAUAGGCCAUAGCCUGGUGUGGCCAUGGGAAGCUCUGCGAAAGGAGACCUGCAGGUCCGUGGAGCCCUGCUCCAAGAUGGUUGUGAAUGCCAACAGUAAGAGAGAGGCACUUCAAGAUGGACUCAUUAUCCCUGUUGCUUGUUUUGCUCAAGUCUUGCUGAGCUGUGAAAACAGACCAAGUGAUCAUCUUUAUGCUUUUGAAAUGCAUAUAGUUAGAGAAAUUUCUGCCAAAAAAUUUCAUUUCCCUUUUCCUGAUUUAGUGCUUCACAGCAACCUACAAAGAAGUCCAGUGAGCAAGAGGGAAAACAGUGCUCAGAAGAGGGAGUGUUUAAAUAUGCUUUUUUUCCCAUGUUUUAAUGAAACACCUGCAAAUCAAAAUCAUGUUGCUUGAUCAUAAUGUCUUGUACAUCAUCCUGUAUAAUUGCUCCCAUUGUACUCCUGCAGCACAGACUACGUGUCAAUUACUGCUUCCAGAUUUGGAGAUGUAUACGCUUGUUACACCAUUACUGAAAGGCAUGAAAAUAAAAGUGUUUUCAUUUAGAUUAUUAACAUUAUGUAAAUGGCAACGUAACUAGUCUUGAUUUGCUGCCACUAACUUGGAAAUAUUUAAACAUUAUUAUUACUUAGCUCAACGUUCCAGUUUUAUCACUGAAAUUAAUGCAUUUAGGCUCAAUUUAGGCUUGUCAACAAAUAAUGAUCAUAGAUGUGAGCUGGUUCAUAAUCCAGAGGUACUAGGUUACAAUGUGUUGCCAUGGAAACUGUGUUUUAUUGCAUUUUCUCUACUUGAUUUAAGACAUUUGACAAUCAUAGCAACUGCUUGCCUGUCUUCCCAUGUCAUAAAAAAUUCAAAAACACAAACAACCAAUAGGGGAAAUUCAUACAGUUCGUGGCCCUCGCUACAAAAAUAAUAAAAAAAAGAAAUGACAACCUUAUAUUUAAUAGGGCCUUUUUGUGAAUAGUUUAUCUCACAGAAUGUCUAGGAGUGUUGGAAAAUUCAAUCAGUGGUUAGUCAUCGAAUGGACCUGUCUUGCCUGUGGUUCAUUUUGUUUAUUGCAUCAUAUAUCUUUUAUGAUCACUGGGACUUUAGCCUGAAACAGCAUUUUCUUUAACAACAGCCAUGUUUCCUCUAAUGUUGUUUAUUGCAUCUGAAACAUUGCUCUUUGAAACCACGGUACAUUUUCAGUUGAGCAAAGGUCUGUAACAGAAUACAGCAUGUCUGUGUUUACUCAGGAUCCUGGGUAAAAAAAAUCCCAGUUCAUGUAACAUUAAUCACUUUGCCAGUGUUCAGCUGAGGUCAUUGCCACAUUCCUAGCAGUAUUAAGCCGAGUCAAGAUUAAUCACGUACAUUAAACCCUGCAAGGAAAGCACGUGAAGCGGAUCUGAAAUUAGACAUUUGGUGAAGGACUGGGAGAGAGCUGUAACAAAAUAUGUUAGCAGUGCUGCAGCAAGCUUUCAGAACGAUGAGGGGUUUUUCCUCCUGUACUGCUGUCAGCUCAUCUAUAUUUAAGGCUUUGUUGCUGUCUCCUUUAUUUAACUCAUUUUUUAGAAGUUUUAGAUAAAGCUACUAAAAUUCUCUCUGGAUUGCAGGAGUGAUUCACCCCCCUCCCCCCCCCCCAUCCCCCCAUUACUUAUUUAUAUAUUUAAAAAAUGCAUUAGUGUAUUUUUAUUUAACUCAAAUUAGGCCUUUGGGAAGAAAGAAG